AGGACUAUAGUUUAUAAAAACAUUUGAUUUGCAUUCAAAAAAUAUUAUAUUUAUAAUUUUUCUU
rnacentral:tRNA from 1 species